rnacentral:lncRNA from 1 species
ACCCCUUGAUAUGGACAAAAAUGGCAAUGUGACACAUCAUCCCCCUGACCAACGCACUGCCCGAGGCUCGCCAUACCCUGCAGCAGCUCGGCCUCCCACGCAACCAAAGGUACAGUCCUGCCCUGCAGACAGCUACAUCAGGUAACAUCAAACCUCCUCUAUAAAUACCCCCGAGCCCUUGGCAAAGGGGGGGAUCACACACUCAACAGACGGAGGUUUCUCCUCCUCCUAAACCCCCUCCACAUCUUUCUCUAACUUGAUCGUCGGAGGGGUCGGGUCGAGCACCCCGGCCCGACCUGUGUGCAGGUGCGAGACGGUGUCGCCUCUUCCUAGCGCUGUGGCGGAGCUUCUUCCCGACCGGGACGACCCGACCUCCCGACCCGAACCACCGAGCUCGGCUGCUGGGAGACCCCGAGGAGCGCCCCCAGAAAGAUCCCCGUCAUCCGGACCCGAACCAAGCCGCGACGGCCCCCGAUGCCACNN